rnacentral:rRNA from 1 species
CCUACGGGAGUCAGCAGUGAGGAAUAUUGGACAAUGGACGCAAGUCUGAACCAGCCAUGCCGCGUGCAGGAAGACGGCUCUAUGAGUUGUAAACUGCUUUUGUACGAGGGUAAACGCAGAGACUCGUAUCUGUCUGAAAGGAUCGUACGAAUAAGGAUCGGCUAACUCCGUGCCAGCAGACGCGGUAAUACGGAGGAUUCAAGCGUUAUCCGGAUUGAUUGUGUUUAAAGGGUGCGUAGGCGGUCGGAUAGGUUAGAGGUGAAAUCCCGAGGCUCAACUUCGGAAUUGCCUCUGAUACUGUUCGGCUAGAGAGUAGUAGCGGUAGGCAGAAUGUAAGGUGUAGCGGUGAAAUGCUUAGAGAUGAGACAGAACACCGAUUGCGAAGGCAGCUCACCAAGCUACUUCUGACGUUGAGGCACGAAAGCGUGGGGAGCAAACAGGAUUAGAUACCCUAGUAGUC